rnacentral:rRNA from 1 species
UACGAAGGGGGCUAGCGUUGUUCGGAAUUACUGGGCGUAAAGGGUUUGUAGGCGGUUAUACAAGUCAGUGGUGAAAGCCCGGGGCUCAACCUCGGAAUUGCCAUUGAAACUGUAUAGCUAGAGAGUGUUAGAGGAAAGUGGAAUUCCUAGUGUAGGAGUGAAAUCCGUAGAGAUUAGGAGGAAUAUCGAUGGCGAAGGCAGCUUUCUGGGACAUUUCUGACGCUGAGAAACGAAAGCGUGGGUAGCAAACAGG